ACUAUAUGGACCAGCCUCCAAAGGCGGCAUCGAGAGCGGGCUGCAGUGCCAGAUACAGAAAACGCGGGCAUCCUGGCACGGAGGAGGAGGUCAGGACCAGAACCCCUAGAAGGCUCCACUGGGUGCGGCUCCCCCGACCGGGUAGAUCCUGCUUCAAACCGGCGAAGAACUCCUGGCCAAGGCCUCUGGCCCGCCCCGGGUACCUAUGACAUCACCACCAACCAAUCAGACGGUGCAUUCUCUCACCCCUUGACUUCUCCGCUUCCCAGAGACAAGGCUCCUGCGGGUUCCACCUCCCGAGCGCCCCAUGUGGCUACCGAGAACAGGCCGGUGGGCUCGUUGUGCCCUCCGGCGUUUCUGAAUGCGAAGACCUCUCCAGAAUCAGAGCUCCACGCCAGACACGCGGGCUGGAUUCCUACAGGAUUAUGCGUGCAGGUGGAGGAUGUGUAGAGACACUUAGGGCGGAACUCCGUUGGAUCCGGGCUAGUCGGUGCAGGGGCUGGAGAAGCGAGACCCUGAGACCCUGAACGUGCUUUUGAGAGUACUAUGGCUCUCGGCUCUCUGGGUCCACAAUCUAGUGUCAGCGCUGGGACAGAGGGCACAGCGUAGCCUGCAGUUCCCAGGAGCUCGGUGUGUGCAUCAUGACAGCAAACAGAGCAAGUCACAGAGGCUGUCAGAGUUCCCUGCCUCAGCUUCCUGGGACCUGUGCUUUGCACUGAAUGACACUAUCUCCUGAGAACAAUGGUUCCCUGCCUUCAGCACCCUGAUAAAAAAGUUGUGACAGGAA